GUUGGUGUGAUAUUAUUUUUCUAAAAUGCUUUUUUGCCCAGUCUUUUUCUUAUCGUUACAUCAUGAACUCUGACGUUAAAUGAGCUUGCAGUGCUUUAGAUGUUGUCUCUGGGUUCCUUGUGGGCCUGUUGAAGGACUCUUGAAAUCAUUUUGGUUGGCCAAAACCUUCAUUAUGGGUUUGUAACGCUUGCAAGACUGACAGACGCUGAUAAAUUAGUUUCUCGCCUGCUCUGGGACGCGCCUCUUGAUUCUGCAGAUCUGGCCGUAGCCAGGUCGAGAUGCGGUGAGUGAACCCGAACAGAGCAUUGUGGGUAAUCACAGCUAAUUCAUCAAUCAGUCAAUCUAAUCAAAUGUUAUUUUUAUAGCACAUAUCAGCAACAAGGCGGUUUAGAUCAUAAAAAC